GCCACCGAAUACAUUUUAGCAUGGGAUAAUGGAAUAGGACCCUGUCCUCCUAUUUUCAGUUGGUUUUGGCAGAGCGAGGACAAGGGUAAUGAGGAUAAUGGAUAGUUGGGGGCAUUAAUUUUUAAAUGUCAGAUGUGAGAUUCUUGGAUUUAUGAAAUAUUAACUUCUGCUAAGCCAUCGGCGUUUGAUGUUUUCAUUAAUCAAGAACGAGGGUUCGGGGACCAUAAAAUAUCGUAUACCGUCUUACUCUUAACCAUAAACAAUGCCGACCAGCAAUCAUUAAACGUUGAAUACCAAACUCCACCAUCGGAGCGGUCGUUCUUGUCUUCGGUCUUUCGGCCGGUCCGGUGGCCGCUU
rnacentral:rRNA from 1 species